AGUCGCCGCACUACGUGGCUAAACGUCCAGAGAAGGACCUGGAGAUCUCGCGGCCUGAAGGUAAAGGACCACCAGUUUCUUGUUUGAUGCCCAAAACAAACACAGAGGAAGAAAAUCCAGCUGUUUCCAGAGCAAUGGAAUCAGGAGUCUGGAGUUGGAAAAGUGCCAGGCGUCACGAGAUUUGUAGCCCGGGCUGAAAUGUCCUGUGCUUGCAUUUUGACCUUUGCCUGGCACCCACGACUGGCCUGCCUUCUCUGCCCCAACUCCUCCUUCUGACUGGUGUCCUUAUGUUUGGAUCUGUGCUAGAAUUGGUUCUGAGACAACAUAAACAGAGCAUGACUCAUGGAUUUGAAGAAGUGUAAGGGUGAAGAACAUGAAGUCAUCAAGGUUAGAAGAAGCGAUGCCAGCGAUGAACACCAGGCUUCACUCACGUUCAAGGAGAGAUGAAUCCAUUCAUUUUAUAAGGUUCACCCAGAAGCAUGGUUGUUGAGUUCUUGAAAAUACAGAGGUCAAAUCAUUUAGGUGUCUAUGUUUCCCCAACAAUACUUUGCUCUGGGGUGGGUAUCACCUGUAGGGUAGUUGUCCUGAUGAAAAGGCCUUAUUGGGCACCAAAAGCUCUGACUGGCAUGCUGGUGGAAGACCCUCAAUAGUAUAGAGAGAGUCAGCCCAGGCCCCUCUGACAUACCGGGUUUCCAUCUUAAGACUCUUUGGAUGCGGGGUCACCCUUCUGAUUCUACUGGCAGUAACUCCAGACCUAUAUCUUGGGAACAUCGGAGAUAAAGUUCAAGGAUGCUUUGUGCUGUGAAAAUAAAAUGACUACUAAGUGGUACCAGGCAAGCAGCCCUGUUGCCUGAUUUUAUGUACAUGACUUAGUGAUAUGGUUAUAAAAUAUGGGCAAAAUAAAGUGAACUGAAUUUAACUGGCAAAACAA
rnacentral:lncRNA from 1 species